CCUACGGGAGGCAGCAGUGAGGAAUAUUGGUCAAUGGGAGAGAUCCUGAACCAGCCAAGCCGCGUGAGGGAAGACGGCCCUAUGGGUUGUAAACCUCUUUUGUCGGGGAACAAAACCCGGGACGUGUCCCGGACUGCGUGUAUCCGAAGAAAAAGCAUCGGCAAACUCCGUGCCAGCAGCCGCGGUAAUACGGAGGAUGCGAGCGUUAUCCGGAUUUAUUGGGUUUAAAGGGUGCGUAGGCGGUCCGUUAAGUCAGCGGUAAAAUUGCGGGGCUCAACCCUGUCGAGCCGUGGAAACUGGGAGACUUGAGUGGGCGAGAGGUACGCGGAAUGCGCGGUGUAGCGGUGAAAUGCAUAGAUAUCGCGCAGAACUCCGAUUGCGAAGGCAGCGUACCGGAGCCAGACUGACGCUGAGGCACGAAAGCGUGGGGAGCGAACAGGAUUAGAUACCCUGGUAGUC
rnacentral:rRNA from 1 species